rnacentral:misc_RNA from 1 species
AAACCAUCAAGCCCAGCUUGGUCUUGGACGCGGUCGAGUGACCCGUCCGUAACCCGUUGGCGGUGCAGUCCGGCCUCAAGCGUAGCAAAAAUUUCGCUUCAGGAGUCCGCGGCGGUGCCCGCCAGGUAAUCACAUCCCAAA